UGUGUAGGAAUCUACCAUUUGGAGGCGAAUAACUUGGGGAAACUCAAGCUAAUACGCCGUAAUAUCUACGGAUUAAAGCGUGGGACCUUCGGGCCACGUGCCAGAUGUUGAGCCUACAUCGGAUUAGCUUGUUGGUGGGGUAAAGGCCUACCAAGGCGACGAUCCGUAGCUGGUCUGAGAGGAUGAUCAGCCACACUGGGACUGAGACACGGCCCAGACUCCUACGGGAGGCAGCAGUGGGGAAUAUUGGACAAUGGGCGAAAGCCUGAUCCAGCAAUGCCGCGUGUGUGAAGAAGACCU
rnacentral:rRNA from 1 species